GUUUAUUUCAUUAAAAGUUUUUAACUUGCAAUCAUGACUGGUCGUGGUAAGGGAGGAAAAGGAUUGGGAAAAGGAGGAGCCAAGCGGCAUCGUAAGGUUCUUCGUGAUAACAUCCAAGGUAUCACUAAACCAGCUAUCCGUCGUCUGGCUCGUCGUGGUGGAGUCAAACGUAUAUCCGGUCUGAUCUAUGAAGAAACCCGUGGAGUUCUCAAGGUCUUUCUUGAAAACGUCAUCCGUGAUGCAGUCACCUACACCGAACACGCCAAACGUAAAACUGUCACCGCCAUGGACGUCGUCUACGCUCUGAAACGUCAAGGCCGUACUCUCUACGGUUUUGGAGGUUAAUUUUAUCAUUGGACUCAGCAAAUUUAAACAAAACGGCCCUUUUCAGGGCCACCAAAUUUUUCAUACGUUGGAAAUUAUUCAAGUUUUGCUCUACAUAUUCAAUUUCAAUAAACCUACCGAUCCUCCAAUGAGAAUUAAACUUAUGUAAUGGAGUUGAAAACUUCAUUUAUAUUUCUGAAACCAUGAACCUGCGCAGUAACAUCUUCAAUAACUGCAUGUUUUCACCCGAGUUAUUAGAAAACCUGUUAUACUAGACGAAUGUAUUACUUAUGAAUUUUAAUUAAAAACGUGAGAGUUUUUCUAAAAACACCCAUUAAUAAAAUUAUCCAUAACUAGAGUCGAAUUCUAUCAAGUCGGGCAAUUAAUUUAUCGUCGAGUGGAAAUUUUUUAAAAAUUACUAUUUAUCGAGUGCUCCAUCUUUAAAGAGUAAACUACAGCGCAUGCGCUAUCGCAUCCACAUAAAUAAUACACAACGAUACACAUCACAUACAAAUGUAUAGCAUACUUAGACUAAUUAGUAAAGCUAAGCCAGAUGAAAACAAUCUCAGUAGAGGUCAAUAUUUAAAUGUAAAAGAUAUUAUUGUCAAUAUACCAGAACAAUUUAAAAAAUUUAUGAGAUACGCCUGACAAUUUUUAUUGUUAUGUCUUUAUACAUGCAUGUUAUUAAAAUUCUCUAUCGAUUCUUUGCAAAAUAGUUUUUUUAAUAAUUUAUUUUACACUAAUUAUUACAAAAUCAUCAUAUGGGGUUAAUUGAACCAAUGUCGGGGGCCAUUGAACCACUACGAGCAUCAAACUAGCGCGCGCAUCUGGGCUUACAAAUGAAAAUAUUUACAGGAAUAAAAAUGUAGCAUUUGUUGUUGGAAUGUAACAAAGUAAUUUAUUAAUUUGCUCCAGACUGUAAAAAUUAUUCGUUAAUUGUGAUAUUAAAAUGCCUCGUCGAAGAAUAAAAAAGACGCAUCGAGGUGAAGUUUCUACUGAAACGUACGAAGCUGCUUGCAAACAAAUUGUAGAAAAUAAACAAAAAAUAAGAUGUGUUGCUAAAAUAUUCAAUAUUUCUUACCCAACGCUACGACGAUACUUCAUUAAAUUUAAAAAUGGUGACAAUUUAAGUGCUGGCUAUCAUCCUCACAAUAAAGUUUUCUCAACUGCUCAAGAAAAUCUAUUUGUCAACAACUGUUUAUCGUCUGCUCAACUGUAUUACGGAUUAACUACAAUUGAUCUCAGAAAGUUAGCUUAUGAAUUUGCAGUAGCAAAUCAAAUAAAACGUCCUUCAUCUUGGGACACAAACAAACAAGCUGGAGUUGAUUGGACCAACGAUGUAAUGAAGAGACAUCCAGAAAUAUCGAUAAGAGUACCUGAAGCUACAAGUCUUGCACGUGGGAUGAACUUUAACAAGCCCAAUGUCACUAAGUUUUUUAAUAAUUUACAAAAUGUUCAAGAGCGUUACAACUUUACUGUAGAAAACAUAUGGAACCUAGAUGAAUGUGCAUUGACAACGUCUCAAAAGCCCGUAGCUAUUAUUGCCGCAAAAGGAAUAAAACAAGUUGGAUCUAUUGCUUCUCAUGAAAGGGGCACAUUGGUCACAAUGUGCUUAGCUGUCAGUGCUAUCGGCAACUCAGUUCCUCCAUUUUUCAUUUUGCCAAGGAAAAAUUUUAAAAAUCACUUUUUGAAUGGUGGACCUACUGGAUGCACUGGUACAGCGAAUCAAUCAGGGUGGAUGCAAGAAGGGGAUUUCCUGAAAUAUUUAGAACAUUUUGUUCAGCACGCCAAGCCUUCUGAAAAAAAUCGCGUUCUAUUGGUUCUUGAUAAUCAUAGUGCGCACAUUUCUCUUGCUGCCAUAAAUUACUGUCGUGAUAACUUCAUUACCAUGCUGUCAUUUCCGCCACAAACAUCUCAUAAGCUUCAGCCACUGGAUAGAAGUGUAUUCGGCCCGUUUAAACGUCGUUUUAAUAGUGAAUCGGAUAAUUGGUACAGAUUACAUCCUGGAGUGCGUAUGACAAUUUAUGAUAUUCCGAAAGUAGCUGCAGCAGCCAUGUCAUCAGUAACAAUAGAUAAUAUAACAGCUGGCUUUAAAUGUACCGGUAUUUACCCCUUAAACCCAGAUAUUUUGUCCGACAAAGACUUCGCACCUGCAACAGUUACGGACAUGCCUGAACCAAACCGUGCAGUUGAGCAUGCUGACCAAUCGGUUGUUCAAUCAAUAAAAAAUUUAGCUUCUAGCCAAAAUAAUUUUAAGCUAAACGUAUUAUCUCCAAAUGAUAUUAACAACGGUAUUCUACACGAUAAAACUAAUCGAAUACAAGAAGCUGUUAUUCUUGCUCCCUCUUGGUCCUUUACCCAAAGCUACACCUAGUCAAUAUACUAGAAAGGGUCGUGUACGAGGCAAAACUGCAAUAUACACUAAUACUCCUGAAAAAUUGGAAAUUGAAAUGAAAAGCAAUGAUAUUAAAAGACAAAAAAAAAAUUUAACUGAAAAGCCAAAAAAAGUUAAAAAAACUAGCAAAAAAAAAGAAUUUUGUGGAUAAAAGUUAGUGAAAGCGUUGAUUAUUAUAAUACACUAACGCAAAAAAUUGAAGGAACAGAAAAAUUUUAUAAAUUUUUUAGUAAUUUUUGGAAGGCUGUAACUUUGUGAAAAAUAAUCGGAUCGAGAUUUUAAAAAAAGCAUUUUAUAGCUUGAAAUUUCUAGGUUCGGUGCAUUUUUAGCAAAAUUUUUUAAAAAGUCUGGUUAUUACGCUAACAUGAGAAAUACCGCGAGACGAAAAAUUUCAAAAUUUUUAUUUUUUUCCAAAGAGCCCACGGACCGUGGAAAAAUUUUGUCAACUAAACCAAUGCAUAGGUCAUUUUACAUACGCAGCUGUUUUGAUCAAUAUAUCAGCCAGUCUUUCCAGUGCUGUCAAAUUUUCGACACUAAAUAUUAUUCUAUUAUUGUUAAUGAAUACUCAUUUAUUUAAGAAAAUUAAGCAUGACUCCUACUAUGGAUGAUUUACUCAUAUCGUAAAUAAUAUCAAUAUGCAAAUACUUAAAUUUGGAACGUGGAUACUAAUAGUAAUAUUAGUAUCUACGUUCUAAAUAUAGAAGAGGUCAACCGAGAUAAUUCCAGGUCCCUAUACGAAAAAAAUAUAUAUCCGGGAUAUAUCCAAGCGAAUCUGGAUAUAUGCGACAUAUAUAAAAAUAUGAGAAAUUUAUGGUAACAAUUACAAUAUAUUAUGGAAAUGGUUCCCAUAAUGCAUGGUAACCGGUUUUUUUGAAAUGUUGAUAAUAGGAACGGCAAAGAAUACUGACUGCACUGCCUGGUAUUCAAGAACCCUGUUUAGAAAAUCUCAUAAAAUCCAAUAGAUUCUCAUGCAUUCCUAUAGAGAUUUUAUAAGAAUAAAUGAGUUCUAUGAGAAGUGCUAUAGUUAAGUAUAGGGCCUUAAACAUACAGUUAUAAGAAUCUAUCGGAUUUUUUAAGCAGGGAAUACUUUGGAUAGAGUUAUCGCUUGGUUCAACACAGAAAAGCCAGGCAAGACUUAGAUUACAUUAACAAUUACCUGUCAGCAACCUUCCGUUACGAUGGUAAUCCGGUUCUGUUUUUAUUUUCGGUACACGGUAAAUCGCUCCAUCCCCUUUACUUAACCAGUAUGUGGGACUGACGUUCGAGGCUCUCUAAUUUCCACUCCCGGUGACAAGUCACCACUUUUAAUAGAUUAAGUUCUAUGGAAUUUAUUUAAAAUGGAUUAUUGUAUUAUAAUAACGUAAUAAAAUUAAAUAAUAUUCUCAAAGAG